rnacentral:rRNA from 1 species
GAUGAACGCUAGCGGCAGGCUUAAUACAUGCAAGUCGAGGGACAGCACAGGUAGCAAUACUGGGUGGUAACCGGCAAACGGGUGCGGAACACGUACACAACCUUCCUUUAAGUGGGGGAUAGCCCAGAGAAAUUUGGAUUAAUACCCCGUCAUAUAGUUGAAUGGCAUCAUUUGAUUAUUAUAGCUACGGCGCUUAAUGAUGGGUGUGCGGCUGAUUAGAUAGUUGGCGGGGUAACGGCCCACCAAGUCUACGAUCAGUAGCUGAUGUGAGAGCAUGAUCAGCCACACGGGCACUGAGACACGGGCCAGACUCCUACGGGAGGCAGCAGUGGGGAAUAUUGUACAAUGGGCGCAAGCCUGAUGCAGCCAUGCCGCGUGUAUGAAGAAGGCCUUCGGGUUGUAAAGUACUUUCAGCGGGGAGGAAGGCGGUGAAGUUAAUAACUUCACCGAUUGACGUUACCCGCAGAAGAAGCACCGGCUAACUCCGUGCCAGCCGCCGCAGUAACAC